AUACGGAGGGUGCGAGCGUUGUUCGGAAUUACUGGGCGUAAAGGGCGCGCAGGCGGCUUGAUAAGUCAGAUGUGAAAGCCCACGGCUCAACCGUGGAAGUGCAUCUGAAACUGUCUGGCUUGAGUACUGGAGAGGAAAGUGGAAUUCCUGGUGUAGAGGUGAAAUUCGUAGAUAUCAGGAGGAACACCGGUGGCGAAGGCGACUUUCUGGACAGAUACUGACGCUGAGGCGCGAAAGCGUGGGGAGCAAACAGGAUUAGAAACCCUUGUAGUCC
rnacentral:rRNA from 1 species